AAUUCCAGCUCCUCGAGUGGUGGGGACUAUUAUUUGGCCUAAAGCGUUCGUAGCCUGUCCAGUAAGUCUUCUGUUAAAUCCAACGAUCCAAUCGUUGGGCUGCGGGAGAUACUAAAGGACUAGGGGGCGGAAGAAGCCGACGGUACUCCUGGGGUAGGGGUGAAAUCCUAUAAUCCUAGGCGGACCACCAGUGGCGAAGGCGGUCGGCUAGAACGCGCCCGACGGUGAGGGACGAAAGCUGGGGGAGCGAUCCGGAUUAGAUACCCGGGUAGUCCCAGCUGUAGACGAUGCAGGCUAGGUGUUAGCAUGACUAUGAGUUAUGUUAGUGCCGAAGGGAAGCUGUUAAGCCUGCCGCCUGGGAAGUACGGUUGCAAGACUGAAACUUAAAGGAAUUGGCGGGGGAGCACCACAAGGGGUGAAGCUUGCGGUUUAAUUGGAGUCAACGCCGGGAACCUUACCGGAGGAGACAGCAGAAUGAAGGCCAGAUUGAAGGUCUUGCUAAACAAGCUGAGAGGAGGCGCAUGGCCGUCGCCAGUUCGUGCCGUGAGGUGUCCUGUUAAGUCAGGCAACGAUCGAGACCCACGCUUCUUGUUGCCAUCGGCACUCCGAUUGGAGGCCAGGCACACUAGAGGGACCGCCGCCGAUAAGGCGGAGGAAGGGGUGGGCCACGGCAGGUCAGUAUGCCCCGAAUUCUCCGGGCCACACGCGAGCUGCAAUGGUAGGGACAAUAGGUUCCGACUUCGAAAGUAGAAGGUAAUCCUUAAACCCUGCCUCAGUUGGAAUCGAGGGCUGCAACCCGCCCUCGUGAAUCAUGGAAUCCCUAGUAAUCGCGCGUCAUCAUCGCGCGGUGAAUACGUCCCCGCUCCUUGCACACACCGCCCGUCGCUCCAUCCGAGUGAAGUUUGGGUGAGGCGUGGUCCAUUGGGCUGCGUCGAAUCUGGGUUUUGCAAGGAGGGAGAAGUCGUAACAAGG
rnacentral:rRNA from 1 species